AUCCUGGAGGAUAUGAGAUCAAGGAGGAGAGCAGCUUUCCUUCAUACCCAACUGUAUUGGCAUUAGCUGAGUUCAUCAUUAUUCCUCUUUAGAUGGCCCUUUCUACUCAACUCUCCUUCUGGGUUCUGGGCUUUCAGUACACUUAGGAGUGGACUGCAAAUUUUAAAGGAUAAGAAAUAUUUCUCUUUCUCAUCCCUGUUUAACCAAAGCUGACGGGAGACCCUGGCACAGGGUUAGCCCACUCUGGGGAGGCGAGCCAGCUCCUGCGGACCACACACAUCAGGUGUAUUCCUGCCAAACCCUCUUGCUGUUUCGCUGCCUAGAAUGCCCUCUUCUAUCUACUCAAAACCUCGACAGAGAAGUAAUAAAGACCAUCGACCAAAGGGUAACCCUCAAGGUGACCCUGGCAAGAUUCUGGGCCUCAGUUUCUUCAUCUAUAAAGUAAGAAUAAUAAUAGUAUCCACAUUUUAGGGUGGUUUGUACGAGGAUUAAAUGAAUCAAUACGUGUACUGUGUUUAGGUUACCAAGACAUGGUUAAUACUCCACAAAUGUCACCAUUUAUUAUUGGGGUUAAAUCAUAAUCAUAGCAGGACAUGAUUCCUAAGUCAAAUUAUUGUCUGAGAUGGCUCUAGGGGUGUGAGAACUACAAAUUUUGUCUGUACUUUUUAUCUUAUGAAUUUUUAACAAGUGGAGCACCUUGGGGCAUUCCCACUGACGAAUGACUCCUACACACAGGCAGAGCGCAAUUUCCCUAGAACGUUGUGACUAGUCUUCCACGUCGGGUGCCACUCAGAGGAACACCUUGCACGUUUCAAAAAAGUAACUUCCUUAAUGCACAUCUGCUUGGUUUUCCUUCCUCUCUCUCCUCUUUGUUUCCUUUUUCUAAUCUUACUUUAAAUCUCUUGAGCAUACUAACAAGAUUGAGAAAAUUCCCCCAGUCGAAUUUUUAACUGCAUCAUGAUUCAGCAUACUUCUGAUCAUUCUUUUAUUCUGGAUACAUAGAUUUUUUUCUUCGCCUUUUUAGGGACCUAAUUCUAUGUACUUUUCCUACGUGACUUACUGUGACACCAGAAAUAGACUAUGAUGCUUAUAUUGUUGCCUUUUUUCUCCCAAAGCCACACACCAAGGGCAUUUGUCAUACACUUCGUAUCUUCAGGAUAACUUUUUGUGGUUUACUAAUCUCAAGCUAGGACUCAGAGGAAGCCCAAUUCUCAUAAGAAGAUUAGUUAGAUGCUGUGAGAAUUGUUCAAAACCACAAAGCAAUUGAGAGAUAAAAUUAGGAUUUGUUUUCUAAAAUUUCAAUCCAUUGAAUUUCACACAAGAACAAAAUACCAGCAAAUAGAAGAUAGCCCAGUUGUUUUGUUAUGGUGCAAUUAAAAGUCAUAGAUUAUCAGAAAUUUCAUUCUCCUUCUGCACUCUCUGGGGUAGAUGCUUAGCUGAGGUUUUCUGUAAUGAAGUACUAUGAGGUAAGAAGUAAUAAGAGAUGUGAUGGGUAAAGGCAGGUGACUUUGUUUUGUUGUAUUUUCUUCUAGAAAGAUGAUGGUGAUCUUAAUGGGAGAGAGAAAUAAGUAAUUAUUUUAAUUUUUUAUUUGGGUAUAGUUGACACAUGUUACAUUAGUUUCGGGUGUAGGACAUAAUGAUUCAACUCUAUAUGUUGUGUUAUGUUCACCACAAGUGUAACUAUCACCUGUCACCAUACAAUGCUAUAAAACAUCAUCGACUGUAUACCAUAUGCUGUGUCUUUUAUUCCCAUGACUUAUUCAUUCCAUAACCAGAAGGCUGUAUCUCCCACACCCCCUCACCCAUUUUGCUCUUCACUCUUCCCUCCUCCUCUCUGGUAACCAUCAGGUUAUUCUCAGUAUUUAUAAGUCUGAUUCUGCUUUUUGUUUGUUUAAUCAUUGUUUUGUUUUUUAGAUUUCACACGAGUGAAAUCAUGUGAUAUUUGUCUUUCUCAGUUUGACUUAUUUCACUUAGCAUGAUGUCAUCUAGGUCCAUUCAAAUCGUCACAAAUGGCAAAAAUCGCAUCCUUUUUUAUAGCUGUGUAAUAUUCUGUGUGUGUGUGUGUGUGUACAUCACACUUCCUUGUCUAUUUGUUUAUCAAUGGAAACUUAUGUUGCUUCCACAUUUUUGCUAUUAUAAAUAAUGCUUCAAUAAACAAAGAGGUUCAUAUAUCUUUUUGAAUUAGCGUUUACUUUGGGUAAAUAUCUA